GCGUCUGUGGUUUAGUGGUAAAAUCCAUCGUUGCCAGUUCUGAGCGAUCAGAAAGCAGCUUCGAUGGGCCCCGGGUUCGAUUCCCGGCGGACGCA
rnacentral:tRNA from 1 species